GGGGCGUUAGCUCAGUUGGUUAGAGCGCUUGCUCGACACGCAAGAGGUCGCAGGUUCGACUCCUGCACGCCCCACCC
rnacentral:tRNA from 1 species